rnacentral:rRNA from 1 species
GACGGGCGCUGGCGGCGUGCUUAACACAUGCAAGUCGAGCGGUAAGGCCCUUUCGGGGGUACACGAGCGGCGAACGGGUGAGUAACACGUGGGUGACCUGCCCUCAGCUCUGGGAUAAGCCUGGGAAACCGGGUCUAAUACCGGAUAUGACUCCAUGACGCAUGUUGUGGGGUGGAAAGCCUUGUGCGGCUGAGGAUGGGCCCGCGGCCUAUCAGCUUGUUGGUGGGGUGAUGGCCUACCAAGGCGACGACGGGUAGCCGGCCUGAGAGGGCGACCGGCCACACUGGGACUGAGACACGGCCCAGACUCCUACGGGAGGCAGCAGUGGGGAAUCUUGCGCAAUGGGCGAAAGCCUGACGCAGCGACGCCGCGUGAGGGAUGACGGCCU